CCUUGAAACAAUAUCUAAGAGUUAUUUUCUCUUUUUUUGUUUUUUUUUUUGUCUAAAAAUGUUUGAUAUCAGAGUGCAAAGUGGUCCUCUCCUAAUGAAAGCAUGGUAGAGCCCAUAAUGGUUUAACCAUUGACAUCGAUCUAAUACGAUAUUUUCUCUUUAGGCCCCCAUGGUUCUUUUUCAUCCUCCGGAUUUUACUUUUUU
rnacentral:lncRNA from 1 species